rnacentral:rRNA from 7 species
AGCGUGCGAUUGGAUUGCACGUCUAAGCAGUAAGGCUGAGUAUUAGGCAAAUCCGGUACUCGUUAAGGCUGAGCUGUGAUGGGGAGAAGACAUUGUGUCUUCGAGUCGUUGAUUUCACACUGCCGAGAAAAGCCUCUAGAUAGAAAAUAGGUGCCCGUACCGCAAACCGACACAGGUAGUCAAGAUGAGAAUUCUAAGGUGAGCGAGCGAACUCUCGUUAAGGAACUCGGCAAAAUGACCCCGUAACUUCGGGAGAAGGGGUGCUCUUUAGGGUUAACGCCCAGAAGAGCCGCAGUGAAUAGGCCCAAGCGACUGUUUAUCAAAAACACAGGUCUCUGCUAAACCGUAAGGUGAUGUAUAGGGGCUGACGCCUGCCCGGUGCUGGAAGGUUAAGAGGAGUGGUUAGCUUCUGCGAAGCUACGAAUCGAAGCCCCAGUAAACGGCGGCCGUAACUAUAACGGUCCUAAGGUAGCGAAAUUCCUUGUCGGGUAAGUUCCGACCCGCACGAAAGGCGUAACGAUUUGGGCACUGUCUCAACGAGAGACUCGGUGAAAUCAUAGUACCUGUGAAGAUGCAGGUUACCCGCGACAGGACGGAAAGACCCCGUGGAGCUUUACUGUAGCCUGAUAUUGAAAUUCGGCACAGCUUGUACAGGAUAGGUAGGAGCCUUUGAAACGUGAGCGCUAGCUUACGUGGAGGCGCUGGUGGGAUACUACCCUAGCUGUGUUGGCUUUCUAACCCGCACCACUUAUCGUGGUGGGAGACAGUGUCAGGCGGGCAGUUUGACUGGGGCGGUCGCCUCCUAAAAGGUAACGGAGGCGCUCAAAGGUUCCCUCAGAAUGGUUGGAAAUCAUUCAUAGAGUGUAAAGGCAUAAGGGAGCUUGACUGCGAGACCUACAAGUCGAGCAGGGUCGAAAGACGGACUUAGUGAUCCGGUGGUUCCGCAUGGAAGGGCCAUCGCUCAACGGAUAAAAGCUACCCCGGGGAUAACAGGCUUAUCUCCCCCAAGAGUUCACAUCGACGGGGAGGUUUGGCACCUCGAUGUCGGCUCAUCGCAUCCUGGGGCUGUAGUCGGUCCCAAGGGUUGGGCUGUUCGCCCAUUAAAGCGGUACGCGAGCUGGGUUCAGAACGUCGUGAGACAGUUCGGUCCCUAUCCGUCGUGGGCGUAGGAAAUUUGAGAGGAGCUGUCCUUAGUACGAGAGGACCGGGAUGGACAUACCUCUGGUGUACCAGUUGUCGUGCCAACGGCAUAGCUGGGUAGCUAUGUGUGGACGGGAUAAGUGCUGAAAGCAUCUAAGCAUGAAGCCCCCCUCAAGAUGAGAUUUCCCAACUUCGGUUAUAAGAUCCCUCAAAGAUGAUGAGGUUAAUAGGUUCGAGGUGGAAGCAUGGUGACAUGUGGAGCUGACGAAUACUAAUCGAUCGAAGACUUAAUC